UGGGGAAUAUUGCACAAUGGGGGAAACCCUGAUGCAGCAACGCCGCGUGAAGGAAGAAGGCCUUUGGGUCGUAAACUUCUGUCCUAAGGAAAGAUAAUGACGGUACCUUUGGAGGAAGCCCCGGCUAACUACGUGCCAGCAGCCGCGGUAAUACGUAGGGGGCGAGCGUUAUCCGGAAUUAUUGGGCGUAAAGAGUGCGUAGGCGGUUUUUUGAAGCGCGGGGGUGAAAGGCAAUGGCUUAACCAUUGUUAGCCCUGCGAACUGGGGGACUUGAGUGCAGGAGAGGAAAGCGGAAUUCCUAGUGUAGCGGUGAAAUGCGUAGAUAUUAGGAGGAACACCAGUGGCGAAGGCGGCUUUCUGGACUGUAACUGACGCUGAGGCACGAAAGUGUGGGGAGCAAACAGGAUUAGAUACCC
rnacentral:rRNA from 1 species